rnacentral:lncRNA from 1 species
GUCAUUCCCUAGGGAAUCUCCGGAUAACGACCUGGUGAGUGUCCCGGCGCCCCCCACCCGGCGCUGCCGUUCCCAAAGCGGGAGCACCGGGAAUGUCCCAGCGUGUCCCCGCAGGGCUGCCCGGAGGUGGACGAGGACGGAUUCACCGUGCGCCCGGACAUCGCCCGCAGUGAGGUGGAGAAUGCCGGGUGUUCCUCCAGCGAUUCCGACUACGACGAGGAUGAGCCGCGCAAGUUUUACGUGCACAUCAAACCGGUGCAGCCGCGGGAAGCGGCCGGCAGCGCCGAGGCCGCCGUGGAGCAGCUCAAGGCCACCGUGGGAAAUCUCAUCCUGGCCCCCGGUGUCGGGGUGAGCCUGGGGGGGCCGCGGGGACCCCCGGGAUUCCCGGGAUCGCCUCAUCCCUGUCCCCUUCUCUUGCAGGGCACCGUCAGGAGGCAGGCGUCACGUAAGUGGCACCGGGGAGGUGGCAGCGAGGCUUGGGGACAUCACAGCAUUCCCGAGCUCCUUUCCUUGGGGACAUCACAGCAUUCCCGAGCUCCUUGGGGACAUCGUGUCCUUCCUCAGCCUCAUUCCUUGGGAAUAUCACAGCAUUCCCGAGCUCCUUUCCUUGGGGACAUCACAGAAUUCCCAAGCUCCGUUCCUUGGGGACAUCACAGAAUUCCCGAGCUCUGUUCCUUGGGGACAUCACAGAAUUCCCAAGCUCCAUUCCUUGGGGACAUCACAGAAUUCCCGAGCUCCAUUCUUUGGGGACAUCACAUCAUUCCUGAGCCUCAUUCCUUGGGGACAAUGCCACCCUUCUUGAGAGCCACUCCUUGGGGACAUCACAGAAUUCCUGAGCUCCAUUCCUUGGGGACAGUGCCAUCCUCCCUUAGACCAAAUCCCUGGGGACAUCACAUCCUCCCUGAACCCCCUUGGUGACAGUGCCACCCUUCCUGACCCCCUUUAGGGACAGUGCCACCCUCCCUGAGCCCUCCUGGGGACAGUGCUACCCUUCCUGACCCCCUUUGGUGACAGUGCCACCCUCCCUGAGCCCCCUUGGUGACAGUGCCACCCUCCCUGACCCCCUUUGGUGACAGUGCCACCCUCCCUGAGCCCCCUUGGGGACAGUGCCACCCUCCCUGAGCCCCCUUUGGGACAGUGCCACCCUCCCUGAGCCCCCUUUGGUGACAGUGCCACCCUCCCUGAGUCCCCUCGGGGACAGUGCCA